UAUUAUAUUUAAUGUUAAUUAUUUACUAGGGUAGUAGUAGGAAGUUCUUGAAACUCAAAGAAUUUGGCGGUGUUUUAGUCUUUUCAGAGGAAUCUGUCCUGUAAUUGAUAAUACACGAUUUGAUUUACUUGAUUUUGUUGUCAGUUUAUAUACCGCCGUCAUAAGAUUAUUUUUGUUUGAGAAUGGAAUUUUCUUGUUUUUAUAAUGAAUAAUAUGUCAGGUCAAGGUGUAGCUUAUAAUUAAGUAGAGAUGGAUUACAAUAAUUAUAAUUAUAUGGAUAAUUAUUUUAGAUUAAUUUGAAGGUGGAUUUGAUUGUAAAUUUAUUAUUGAUUUUUAUAUUGAUUUGAGCUCUAGAAUGUGCACAUAUCGCCCGUCGCUCUCGUUAUUAAGGUGAG
rnacentral:rRNA from 1 species